GACGAACGCUGGCGGCGUGCUUAACACAUGCAAGUCGAACGGAAAGGCCCUGCAUUUGUGGGGUGCUCGAGUGGCGAACGGGUGAGUAACACGUGAGUAACCUGCCCUUGACUUUGGGAUAACUUCAGGUAACUGGGGCAACUACCGGCUCGGAGCUCCUGAUGCCUGGUGGGGGUUGGAAAGUUUCGGCGGUUGGGGAUGGACUCGCGGCUUAUCAGCUUGUUGGUGGGGUAGUGGCUUACCAAGGCUUUGACGGGUAGCCGGCCUGAGAGGGUGACCGGCCACAUUGGGACUGAGAUACGGCCCAGACUCCUACGGGAGGCAGCAGUGGGGAAUAUUGCACAGUGGGCGGAAGCCUGAUGCAGCAACGCCGCGUGCGGGAUGACGGCCUUCGGGUUGUAAACCGCGUUCGCCUGUGACGAAGCGUGAGUGACGGUAAUGGGUAAAGAAGCACCGGCUAACUACGUG
rnacentral:rRNA from 1 species